rnacentral:lncRNA from 10 species
GUGACAUUUGGUGCCGAAGACCCAGGACAGGGGGACUCCUUCAGGAGACCGGUCCCCUGUCCUUGCCAUCACUCUGUGAGGAGAUCCACCUACGACCUCGGCUCCUCAGACCAGCCCAAGGAACAUCUCACCAAUUUCGAAUUGGCCAGCUCCUGACAUUAGAAAACAGCUUCAAAAAUUGGAAUCUGGCCCUCAAACCCCACAACAGGAAUUAAUCAACCUCGUCUUCAAGGUUUACAAUAAUAAGAGAGGAGGCAGCCAAACAACAAUGCAUCUCUGAGUUACAGCUACUUGCCUCCACUGUAAGACAACCCACAACCACGUCUCCAGCAUACAAACACUUCAGAACAUCCAAGCCACAGCUCCCAGGGGCUCCUUCAAAACCUCCUCAUGGAUCUUCCUUCAAAUGCCAAAGCCUGGCCACUGGGCCUCGGAAUGCCCGCAGCCUGGGAUUCCUCCUAGGCCGUGCCCUGUCUGUGUGGGCCCCCACUGGAGGUCGGACUGUUUGACUCACAUUGCCGCUGCUCCUAAAGCUCCUGAACCCCAAACCCAAUUGUACCUUGGCUGACUCCUUCCAAGAUCUCCUUGGCUUAGCAGCUG